AUGCCAUGGUGAGGGCAUUUUCUUAACAACUCUUUAAACAACCCAUGCAUCAGGAACAACUUCAUCGUCCAUUUGUUUAAAAAGACAAAUUUCAAAUUUGGACUU